GCUUAGCCCUAAAUCCCGAUACUUACCCCACCCAAGUAUCCGCCCGAGAACUACGAGCACAAACGCUUAAAACUCUAAGGACUUGGCGGUGCCCUAAACCCACCUAGAGGAGCCUGUUCUAUAAUCGAUAACCCACGAUACACCCGACCAUCUCUUGCCCAUGCAGCCUACAUACCGCCGUCCCCAGCCCGCCUUAAAUGAGAGAACAGCAAGCAUAAUAGCUACCCGCUAGCAAGACAGGUCAAGGUAUAGCAUAUGAGAUGGAAGAAAUGGGCUACAUUUUCUAGUCUAGAACAGAACGAAAGAGGGCAUGAAACACCCUCCGAAGGCGGAUUUAGCAGUAAAGUGGGAUCAGAAAGCCCACUUUAAGCCGGCCCUAGGGC
rnacentral:rRNA from 1 species